UAGCUCAGUAGGUAAAGAAUCUGCCUGCAAUGCAGGAGACCCAGGUUCCAUUCCUGG
rnacentral:tRNA from 1 species